CCUACGGGUGGCAGCAGUGAGGAAUAUUGGUCAAUGGGCGGAAGCCUGAACCAGCCAAGUAGCGUGCGGGAUGAAGGCCCUACGGGUCGUAAACCUCUUUUGCCCAGGGAUAACACCCUCCACUUGAGGCGGUCUGCAGGUACCGUACGAAUAAGGGCCGGCUAAUUCCGUGCCAGCAGCCGCGGUAAUACGGAAGGCCCGAGCGUUAUCCGGAUUCAUUGGGCUUAAAGGGAGCGUAGGCGGGCGGUCAAGUCAGCUGUAAAAUCCCGCGGCUCAACCGCGCCCCGCAGUUGAAACUGGACGACUUGAGGUGACAACAGGCAGGCGGAAUUCGUGGUGUAGCGGUGAAAUGCAUAGAU
rnacentral:rRNA from 1 species